UCGUCAGCUCGUGUCGUGAGAUGUUGGGUUAAGUCCCGCAACGAGCGCAACCCUUGUUAUUAGUUGCCAGCAUUUAGUUGGGCACUCUAAUGAGACUGCCGGUGAUAAACCGGAGGAAGGUGGGGACGACGUCAGAUCAUCAUGCCCCUUAUGACCUGGGCAACACACGUGCUACAAUGGGAAGUACAACGAGUCGCAAACCGGCGACGGUAAGCUAAUCUCUUAAAACUUCUCUCAGUUCGGACUGGAGUCUGCAACUCGACUCCACGAAGGCGGAAUCGCUAGUAAUCGCGAAUCAGCAUGUCGCGGUGAAUACGUUCCCGGGUCUUGUACACACCGCCCGUCAAAUCAUGGGAGUCGGAAGUACCCAAAGUCGCUUGGCUAACUUUUAGAGGCCGGUGCCUAAGGUAAAAUCGAUGACUGGGAUUAAGUCGUAACAAGGUAGCCGUAGGAGAACCUGCGGCUGGAUCACCUCCUUUCUAAGGA
rnacentral:rRNA from 1 species